AACAAACGCUGGCGGCGUGCCUAAUACAUGCAAGUCGAACGGGGAAAGCUUUCGGGUGAGUACUAGUGGCGCACGGGUGAGUAACGCGUGGAUAAUCUGCCCUCGAAUGGGGAAUAACUAGUCGAAAGAUUAGCUAAUACCGCAUAAGACCACGACUACCGAGGUAGUUGGGGUCAAAGGAGCAAUUCGUUUGAGGAUGAGUCCGCGUAAGAUUAGCUAGUUGGUGAGGUAAUGGCUCACCAAGGCGAUGAUCUUUAACUGGUCUGAGAGGAUGACCAGUCACACUGGAACUGAGACACGGUCCAGACUCCUACGGGAGGCAGCAGUAGGGAAUAUUGGACAACGGGGGCAACCCUGAUCCAGCGACGCCGCGUGAGCGAUGAAGGCCUUCGGGUCGUAAAGCUCUGUUGUAAGGGAAAAAGUUCUGAUUGUACCUUACGAGAAAGGAUCGGCUAACUUCGUGCCAGCCGCCGCCGUAA
rnacentral:rRNA from 1 species